rnacentral:rRNA from 1 species
GCGAUUCCCUUAGUAGCGGCGAGCGAAAAGGGAACAGCCCAGCGCAUAAUCUCCCGGGUUACCAAGCCUGCGGCGAAAUGUUGCGUUAAAGGAAAGGUCGUUAAUGCCUCGCUCACCCGUUUGAUUGUGCCUAACAGCGUCUUGAAUUAUUCGCGCUUGUCAAGCACCUUUGCAAACUCUUACGGGUUACAAAAGCUCGACACACGGUUCCAUGGAGGGUGCAAGUCCCGUCUGGCCGCGGUUGAGUGGGCGAUGGCUAGGCCUCUUUUCCUGGAGAGUCGCGUUGCUUGAACUUGCAGCGCUAAGCAGGAGGUAAACUCCUCCUAAGGCUAAAUAUGUCCACAGAACCGAUAGCUAACAAGUACCGCGAGGGAAAGUUGAAAAGUACUCUGGAGAGAGGGUGCAAAGACCGUGAAACCAUCCAGGGCAAAAGCCAAUGUCGAGUAUCCUAGUUGCGCUGGGACCGUCCUUCGGGAUGAUACUACGCUCGAGUGUCGACGAGAGUCCAUUCUAUUCACUUAGAAUACUCGAGACGCACUCGUCAUGUGCGUAGUUUGAGUGUCCAUUAACAGCCCGCCGCAACUCUUACGAGGUCUCUCGCGGUUGUCGCGUGGCGGGAAGCUCGCGUUCACUAACGGAGUGCGUUGUCACGGGGUCGUGUUCGGCGGAGUCCAUGCCAGUAGCCGCUUCGGCGGCGAAGACAUGCCCGCUGACGCGCGGUACAAACGAACCCCUAUGGCGUACGCCGGAGCGUAGAGAACCGUCACACACUGGCAGUCAAUGCGUGAAUGAUCCUUCUGGUGAGAAGUUGAUUCGGACAAGUCCACGCUUGCGUGGCAACGGCGGUAUCAUGCCUAGGUGACAUUGGUCACGUCUCGAAACACGGGCCAAGGAGCAUAGCGUAAAGGCAAGUCGCAGGGUUUCACUAAACCCGGUGGCGAGUGAAAGCGAGUGACGUACCAUUAGUUUGGGCCGUAGACCCGUGCGUGAGGAUUCCAAGUCUUUUCUUGAGUUUUGAGCGCGCAGGUCGCUUUGUACACAGCUGAUCCUUAAGCUUUUACGAGCGACAAGGCGCAGGCUGCAAGCUUACUCAUAGUCGCAAUACGCGCACCUCGUGUGUACGUGGCGUGACAGAGGAAGCAUUGUCUAGACUUUCCGCUAUGACCCGAAAGAUAGUGAACUAUGCUUGACGAAGACGAAGCCCUAGGAAACUAUGGUGGAAGUCUGUAGCCGUUGUGACGUGCAAAUCCAUGGCGUCAGUUGAGUAUAGGGGCGAAAGACCAAUCGAACUAUCUAGUAGCUGGUUCCAUUCGAAGUUUCUCUCAGGAUAGCUUGAGCGACAAUGACGCUAAUAAGUCUGAUCUUAUGAGUAAAUCACACACUAAGAACGCCCACGUCUGCAGUUGUUGAGAGCACAUACAGCCGUGAGCUCGUACACUCACUCUUUCCAGGCAAUGCGGGUUGCGUGUCACACACGUUUUUCCUUACGCAGUUACGUCUGGUAAAGAGAAUGAGUAGAGUUGGCUCGUUGUUCUUGUAACAACAGCAGCGGGGCGUUCUACGCCUCGCACUAUUAUCAAACUUUAAAUGGGCGAGGAACUCGGCAUUAUCUUAAUUGCUUGAUGCCGAGGCGUACACGGUACAGUGUUGUCAAAUACUCUGUUUCGGAUGAGAAUGCGUGCGCUUUAAGUGGGUCCUUUCUGGUAAGCAGAACUGAUAAUGAGGGAUGAACCUAACGCAUGUGCUAAGGGGUCAAAAAGACAGCUAUUUCUCGAAACCAUUGGAAAGGUGUUGCUUGCUAAAGACAGCAGGACGGUGGUCAUGGAAGUUGACAUCCGCUAAGGAGUGUGUAACAACUCAUCCUGCCGAAGCGAGUAACCCUGAAAAUGGAUGACUCUAUAGCUCUCUCCCGAUGCACAGCCGUCAAUAGCACGAGUGACAUUUCGUGUCUCAACGCUUUGACGAGUAGAAUGGUGUGCUGGUGUGCGUCGAAGACCUUUGCGUGAGCAUGGUCGGAGCCGCCAGUAGUACAGAUCUUGGUGGUAGUAGCAAGUACUCUGGUGAAUAACCUUGAGCUGUGAGGCUGACAAGGGUUCCGUGUCAACAGCGUUUGAACACGGGUAAGCCGAUCCUAAGCUCCCUUUAUCUCAUAAAGGUAAUUGCGUAUGCCCGGAGAAUUACGACGCAAUUGUGCGCGCGUUUGAGCCGCGUUUUCAUGCCUGACGUAUGGUGGUGGCAGCAUGCGCCGCAUGUGUGUGAGUAUUGUCGUCGUGUCGAGCUGCGUCUCGCUAAGAACACGCGUACGCUGUGUACGUGUAGCCCAGCCUCUGUGCUCUCCAACGAACGCCCCGCUGCUGUUGAGCUGAACGUGUUAUGCACCUGGUCGAACGUGGCUCCCCCGAGGAGCUGCCGCAUACACACUAGUAAGAGCAGAGGGUUGAUGGACCGCCGAGAAAUCAAGCAGGGCACACCGCAAACUACGUAUGAGACGCACACCUCGAUCGACACACACGCUCGUAAGCACACUCUCGUGCGUUGCGGUCACAUCAAAACACCUACGACACUCGUAUGAUCUCGGUCUGGCACGCGCGUGCACGCUUUGUUACAGUAUAAUCUGGCGUCGCUUGGCGAAAGGGGAAUCUGAACUCAGUUCAUAUGCCUCUCCUGGCACCCUGAGACGGUUCACCGUAUCACGAUCCUAGCAAUAGAUGCCAGGCCAGUCGAUGUCAUAAGUAGCUCGACAGGGAGAUUUCUUCUCUCUUUGAUAAGACGGUAGUUCCUGAAAGCACCUCGCGUGGCGGAAGGACGAUGUCUUGUAUAGCAGAGUAGUCCUCUUUCUAGACUAGCUCGACGCUGCUUGUGACCCGUGAAAAGGUGGUCGAGGGGAAGGAAAUGUACGCUAGAGCACACGCUUUCGGGCGCGCGUCUCCUGCAGUACUUUCGCACUUCACACGAGUGUUUGCCAUCGGAGUGUUCGUACCCA